rnacentral:snRNA from 14 species
GGAUGUGAAGGCAAUCUGGCUAUGACAUCUGUCACCUCAUUGAUCACCAUGGUUGAUUUGCCUGAUCUGGCUGGCUAGGUAGGAAUCCCCUUCCUCCUUUACUGCUCCACGUGCAUUCCUCCUGAAGCUGCAUGCUCAGUCAAAGAGGAUGAUCUUCCCCAUACAGGCUGUACCGUUCAUUGGUCACAGGUAUAUGGUAGCUGCACUCCCCUGCUGGAAUGUCCAAACAAGCUCAAGGUCCAGCUGCAGGAGAACAUAGGGUAGUCAUCUUCAAGACACAUCCAAGUGAGGUGCUGCACGUGGCAGUUUGCCAUUCUU